GACGAACGCUGGCGGCGUGCUUAACACAUGCAAGUCGAACGGAAAGGCCCCUUUGGGGGUACUCGAGUGGCGAACGGGGGAGUAACACGGGAGUAACCUGCCCUUGACUUCGGGAUAACUUCAGGAAACUGGGGCUAAUACCGGAUAGGAAUCCUUGCUGCAUGGUGGGGGUUGGAAAGCUUCGGGGGUUUUGGAUGGACUCGCGGCUUAUCGGCUUGUUGGUGGGGUAGGGGCUUACCAAGGCUUUGACGGGUAGCCGGCCUGAGAGGGCGACCGGCCACAUUGGGACUGAGAUACGGCCCAGACUCCUACGGGAGGCAGCAGUGGGGAAUAUUGCACAAUGGGCGGAAGCCUGAUGCAGCAACGCCGUGUGCGGGAUGACGGCCUUCGGGUUGUAAACCGCUUUCAGCAGGGGCGAAGCUUGUGGUGACGGUACCUGCAGAAGAAGCACCGGCUAACUACGUG
rnacentral:rRNA from 1 species